ACUCCGCCUCUCCCACAGCGGCGGCGGCGGCGGUGGUGGUGAUGGUGGUGGUGGUGGUGGAGGCUGCCUUCCUCCUCCUUCCCUCCUGUGGAUCUCCUCUCCUUCACUUUCACCGAGGAUGAAGAUGACAGCAGACGCUGGUUGGAGUCGCCUUUAAAGAAGGGGACCCACUUGAUGCCGAUCCACCAGAGGAUGAACAUGGUGCAGUGAUGGUAGACGUGGAGGAAGCUGACCUGGGUGAACUUCUUCCUCAGGAUGAAAAACGCUGUAUCCAAGAAUUCCACUCCUUUGGAGACGUAGUACCACCAAAGAGCAGAUGCUAUCUGUAAAUGGAAAUAGUGAAUGACGACAGGAUUACAUCUUUGAUUAAAGCCCGACAGACCACAAUCAAAUGCAAGAAUAAAAAUGAUGAAAGGAACAGAGAAAAGUGCCUGAAACUGACUGUCGAUACAACUGGUUGACAGGCUGACAGAGGUAGCUGUAUCCUGCUGAUCUGGUGGCUAUAAGGAGCUGACGAGAAACCACAGAACAUUAAAGAGGAGAAGUGCAUUGAAACAUCCCAACGCUACCAACAGGAGGAUGCUUGUAAUAAGGACACUGAGCAAGUUAUUUCAGGUGAAAUAUCCUUGGACCCCGCAGCUGAGAUUGGCAUAAAAAAGUGGUAGAAGAUGGAUGGAUUCUCCUUUAGAAACUAUCCUCUACUCCAAACAGCAGAAACUUCUAAGUGAGCGAAUGACAGAACUACAAGUUUCUAUAUAUUUGUAAUUUGUUGAAGAAAUUAGAGCACACUCACAUCCUUAUGGCAUUGUUUCACUGCUUAGCUGUCACACUACAGUGUCUUUCGCUCUUUAUUUUCAGUUGUAACAUUGGACUGAGCAGCUGUGUUACACUCAUGAACGGCCAUAUUUGUUCAUCGAUUCAUGGCGGCGCUUCAGUG